rnacentral:rRNA from 1 species
AACGAACGCUGGCGGCAUGCCUAACACAUGCAAGUCGAACGAGACCUUCGGGUCUAGUGGCGCACGGGUGCGUAACGCGUGGGACCCUGCCCUUAGGUUCGGAAUAACUCCCCGAAAGGGGUGCUAAUACCGGAUAAUGUCUUCGGACCAAAGAUUUAUCGCCUUUGGAUGGGCCCGCGUUGGAUUAGCUAGUUGGUAGGGUAAAAGCCUACCAAGGCGACGAUCCAUAGCUGGUCUGAGAGGAUGAGCAGCCACACUGGGACUGAGACACGGCCCAGACUCCUACGGGAGGCAGCAGUGGGGAAUAUUGGACAAUGGGCGAAAGCCUGAUCCAGCAAGGCCGCGUGAGUGAUGAAGGCCUUAGGGUUGUAAAGCUCGUUUACCCGGGAUGAUAAUGACAGUACCGGGAGAAUAAGCACCGGCUAACUCCGUG